UUAUUCUUGCGUACUAUUGUUUGUACAGAUGAAUGUGGUACCUUCAGGUGUUUGGAAAUUGCUCCCAAGGAUAAAUCAGACUUGUGGAGGUCUACCAUUUUUUUUCUGAGGUCUUGGCUGAUAUCUUUUCAUUUUCCCAUGAUGUCAUUCAAAGAGGCACCGAGUUUGAAGGUAGGCCUUGAAAUACAUCCACAGGUACACCCCCAAUUGACUCAAAUGAUGUCAAUUAGCCUAUCAGAAACUUCUAAAGCCACGACAAUUUUCUGGAAUUUUCCAAGCUGUUUAAAUGCACAGUCAACUUAGUGUAUGUAAACUUCUGUCCCACUGGAAUUGUGACACAGUGAAUUAUAAGUGAAAUAAUCUGUCUGUAAACAAUUGUUGGAAAAAUUACUUGGGUCAUGCACAAAGUAGAUGUGCUAACCGACUUGCCAAAGCUAUAGUUUGUUAACAAGAAAUUUGUGGAGUGGUGGAAAAACGAAUUUUAAUGAUUCCAAAGUAAAUGUGACUUCAACUGUAUGUAUAUAGAAAUAUAUAUUUUUGCAAUUUACAGUUUGGGAAAUUUACCAGUAUGAUUUAAAAUAAUUUCCCCCCAUAUUUUGAAUAUGAUCCAUUUUAAUUUAGCCAGUCACCCAAUGUCUUCCUAUGGUUUGGUUUUAACCAUUUAAGUCUCAAGAGGGGCACAGUUUUUUUUCCUACUUGAUUUGAAUCCAUCCCUUACAACCUAGACUAGAUUUGUAAAGUAUUUAGAGAAACUCUUGCUUGAUAUCAGCAUUAAGAAGCCUUAUUUUCUGAUAUUUGUAUUACUACAAAUGAAGAAUUAUUGGUUGACCCAUUAAGUUAUUCCUUUUAAUUUAUUUAAUUUAUUAAAUACAGAUACAUACAUGCCACGUAGAUUUUUAAACUGAGCUGUGUAUACCCAUGUGAUAUAUUAUAAACUGGGUGGUUCAAGCCCUGAAUGCUGAUUGGCUCAAAGCUGUGGUAUAUCAGACCAUAUACCACGGGUAUGACAUUUUUACUGCUCUAAUUACGUUGGUAACCAAUUUAUAAUAGAAAUAAGACACCUCGGGUGGUUAUGGUAUAUGGCCAAUAUACCAUGGCUAGGGGCUUUACCCAGGCACACUUUAGCCGUGGUAUAUAUUGGGCAUAUACCACACCCCCUUUUGCCUUAUUGCUUUAUUACAACUCAAUACCCCCCCUAUUCACUAUGCAUUUCUUUUGCAAAAAUAUAUUUUGUACAGAUUUCAACUAUAAUUUUUUAAAAUUUAUUUUUACAAGCAGCUCUUUCUCUAAAGAUUUCUUUUCAUAAUGUCUCCUUAUCAUGAUGAAAAGAUUACUCAGGCAAACCGUACCAGUAAAAUCUGACAGUAUUACUGGUCAUUACUACCACAAAACUCCUCUGAAUGAUGUCACUGCUUCAAACAGCAGCUAGAAUUUCAAAGACCUUAACAAUUGUAAAGUAUAUGCAUUUUUAUAUUAAGAAAACAUUUUAGGACCUUUGUAAAUAUUUUUUAUAAUAAAAGGUGCAAAUCUUGUCAUUUUUUAAUUUUAAUUAAUUUGAUCAAAUUAGUCUUAGUAUAAUUUUUAUUUAUUUUUUUAAAUGAAAUUUCUCCUUUUAUUUAAAGACCUUUUUGUAAAUAUUUUUUUAACUAGGCAAGUCAGUUAAGACCAAAUUCUUUCUUUCAAUGACAGCCAGUUCAGGGGUAGAAUGACAGAUUUUUACAUUGUCAGUUUGGGGAUUCGAUUCAGCAACCUUUCGAUUACUGGCCCAAUGCUCUAACCACUAGACUACCUGUCGUCCCAAAACAGUUGUUUCCAUACCGGUAGUCGAACCCCGGCCGCCUGAGUGAAAACCAGGAAUCCUAACCUAAUCCUAACCGCUAGUAUAAAGAUCUAUGUUGGGUCGUGGCGUGAAGCGGAAACAGUUGUAAUGAGGCAGAGGGGCUCAAGGUCUAUUUGCCAGAGAAGGCUGAGGUCAAGGCUCAGGGGUGGGUCUUCUUACCUGCCUCAUCUGCUACAGCUGGUGCUCAGCCUAUGCCUGGACAAGCUACAGCGCAGUCGAACAGGAGCAGAACUAAGCCUGCACCGCUCAGUGCUGCUGGUGAAUACCCUGAGGCAGAUUCAAUAGGACAUGCACAGGGAUUUGCCAGGUAGUCUUGACCUGUCAGCCCAGUCACUCUCCCCUUACCCUGAUGCACCUACCCACACAACUGACCUCUCAAACUUGCCUUUAAAUGCUGUCCACCAUGACUCUCUCAGUGAUGGUAUUUGGGAGGAGGAUGGCCCACUCACCUGCCCAGGGUGUGCUGAAGGAAACGCACUGGGUGUCUCCUCGCCGCCCCACCCUUUGUUGCCUACAUCUCCCUUACAGGACAGCUCCUCUGGGCACCCCAGAGCACAAAGCCCUGGGCUACCUCAUGGACCUUGCCCUGGAUGACAUCUUUGAGGACAUUGACACCUCCAUGUACGACCCUGAUAUCCCCUCGGCCUUGGCCGGCUACCCAUCCUGGGUGUGCGGGGUGUCGUCCUGGGGGGACAAGGGACUAAAGCAGUGUCUGACCGACCUCAAUGAUCUGGACCACAUUAUGGAGAUCAUAGUCAACUCAUGAAAUAUGUAGUUCACAUCAAGGGGUCAUGACCUGGUUGUUAAGGAUUUGGACAUCAUCAGUAUUUUUGUCAUACGAGAGCGGUUUUAUUAAGGCGACGUAGACUUGAUGGUGUAUCUACUGAGAACAUAAUGUUCAGUUCUUGAGGGAGUCGUCAGAAUGCGAGAAAAAAUACUUUUACCUUUAGUGCUUGUGCUAUUAUAUAAUGCAUCUUGAAAUUGUACAUUAUCUUUGCAUUUAAUCAAAUUAUAACAGCCACUUUUCCCUUUAAAAAACAGUGCCUUAAAGACUUAAAAUAAUUCUGUAGAAAUUUAGUAUUUGAGUUUCAAUGGGGAAAGUUAAGAAAUAUAUCAAGUGGAGAGCUGAGCAGUGAGCGCUUUCCUCCACGUGUGAGUGUCAUGUCAAGGCUCAAUACAACCCAGGAUCAUCAUCCCUUCCUCCAUGUCCCUUUGUCUCUCUUCAGCCACUGUACUGGGAUGUAAUCUUAAUUCACUCUGACAUCCCACCAGUGCACUAGCUGGGAGGAGAUGAGAGAGAGAGAUGGAAAUAAGAGGGGGGAGGAAAAUGUAGGACUACAUAUCUUGUCAUGUAGGAUGGGCCUACUUGUGAAAAGGUGAUUGUUUUGCUCUCAGUAUUAAAUUUCUAUUCAUAGACUCAACCCGCCAACCAAUCAAAUGAUAUGUGGGAGGAGUGUUCUCAUCCACCAACCCCUCGUUUUCACUGUAUGGAAGAGUACUGGCUCAGAUGGAGUUGUACACAUGUAAUAACCUCCCUGUUACGCAGCUUUGUGCUGAUUAGCUCCAUCAUACCCCAUUGACCAAUCCCAUGAAACAUGUCUGGUUUAGUGUAUUUAGGCAGGUUAACAAAGCAGAGGAACACAAUGGGGGAAAGAUAGAUGUGGAAGACGCCAAUAAUGUGAUUCCAUAAAUAGUUCAAGCACAAACAAUCCAUUUUUCCACAACACCUAACCACAGUAAGAAGACACACCCAAUCAUUACUUAUAUUUCUAUUUGUACCAUGCACUCCUCAAGAUGUCAAGCCAGGUUUCGACAGUGAGACUAAGGCUGUGUUUACAUGGGCAGCCCAAUUCUGAUAUUUCACUAAUUGGUCUUUUGACUAAUCAGAUCGAAGCUCAGAAAAAUAACUGAUGUGAUUGGUUAAAAGCCCAAUUAGUGGAAAAAAGAUCCACAUUGGCUGCCUGUGUAAACGCAAUCUUAGAGAUGGGUAUUUUAUCAAAUAUAUGGACAAAUGGGACAGUCAUACAUUUUUGUAAGCUUUUAUGUUUCUCCAGAUCAUCAUUGUUUUGAGGUGUAGCAAAAAUAGAACAAUUGGUCAUGAGAAUGACUCCUCUUAUUAGCAAGUUACAUGUCUUCCUCCAGCUCAUUCAUGUUUUGUUAGGAGGCUGAUAGUAACUUUGGCUUGUAGAUCUGCUGUAUCAAAUACUACUAGUCAAUGUGUUCAAUGGUUUUUAAGUGCAAUAUCAACUUUUUAGAUUUGUAAAUAAUUGUGAUGUGGAAUGAAUCAACUCUUAGAAAAGAUUCUGCCAUUAUCCUGGCUCAUGUAGUCAGAUGUCAGUAUUUGUUUUAUACGUACAUUGAAAUUAAAUUAUGUUUAAUAACAUUUUAAACUAUACAAUGCUUUGCGUCAGUGGAUGUCUUCCCAUUGCAAUUUCUGUGUUUUAAUUAUGUUUUAACAUAAUCAUAUACUAUGCCAUAGAUCUGACCCACAAAUAAUGAAAAAGUAAUAGAGAUUUGCCUCUUGAUUUUUGUUAAUGAAUAUUAACCCUUGUGUGGUUUUCAUGUUUUUGUUAUUAACCCAAUGUUCGCAAUUCUGAUGGACCCACAACAUUAUUGGAUUUUUAAAACUAUACAGCCAUAACAAUUUCCGUAAAAAAAUACUUAAUACUUAGAUGUUGACUUAUAUCAAUUACAAGAAAUAUAGACAGCAUACAUGGUUAAUAUUAGCCAUUUACCUCAGCUAGAUCACAUUUAUCAAUUAAAGCACCAUUUGUUUUUUGUAAACAAAUCAAUUACAAUCAAGACUUGGGUGGAAUAAAUCAUGUUUAUCUUGAA